rnacentral:rRNA from 1 species
AAUCAACGCUGGCGGCGUGCCUAACACAUGCAAGUCGAGCGGGAAAAGGGGCUUCGGCUCCUGAGUAUAGCGGCAGACGGGUGAGUAACACGUGGGUAAUUUGCCCUUGGGUGUGGAAUAACUCAGGGAAACUUGAGCUAAUACCGCAUGACAUCCUCUUCGCACACGAGUCGAGGAUCAAAGCCGGGGACCCUUCGGGGCCUGGCGCCUGAGGAGAAGCCCGCGCCCGAUUAGCUAGUUGGUGAGGUAAUGGCUCACCAAGGCUUCGAUCGGUAGCCGGCCUGAGAGGGCGGACGGCCACACUGGGACUGAGACACGGCCCAGACUCCUACGGGAGGCAGCAGUGGGGAAUUUUUGUCAAUGGGGGAAACCCUGAACAAGCAACGCCGCGUGGAGGACGACGACCUGG